UACGAAGGGGGCUAGCGUUGCUCGGAAUCACUGGGCGUAAAGCGCACGUAGGCGGAUUGCUAAGUCAGGGGUGAAAUCCUGGAGCUCAACUCCAGAACUGCCUUUGAUACUGGCAACCUUGAGUCCGGGAGAGGUGAGUGGAACUGCGAGUGUAGAGGUGAAAUUCGUAGAUAUUCGCAAGAACACCAGUGGCGAAGGCGCUCACUGGCCCGGUACUGACGCUGAGGUGCGAAAGCGUGGGGAGCAAACAGG
rnacentral:rRNA from 1 species